UCAGGAUCUUGAACAAAAGCAGCAUUUUCACCUUGCCCUCACAAAAAUAAUACAAACCAGAAAAUUAAAACUUAAGGUAUAAAAAGGGACUUCUGGAACACACACCAUUUAAGAUAAUAACCCACUUGCUGUCCAUGAGGACCGCACCUCAUGCAUAGAUCUUGAGGCUUUAUUUACACAAAUAUAAAAUAAACUGAUUCCCAAAACCACACAUUCAGAGGAAGUCUUUACAAUGAACACGUUCAGAGUAUCGAAAAAGGUCUACGUUUCAAAAUGUAACCGGAAUGGCAGUUGGUAACAAAUGGGUAGAAAACUAGGCAAUGUCUGGUACAGUUCUUGUUG